UGGGGAAUUUUGGACAAUGGGCGCAAGCCUGAUCCAGCCAUGCCGCGUGCGGGAAGAAGGCCUUCGGGUUGUAAACCGCUUUGUCAGGGAAGAAAUCUUCUGAGUUAAUACCUCGGGAGGAUGACGGUACCUGAAGAAUAAGCACCGGCUAACUACGUGCCAGCAGCCGCGGUAGUACGUAGGGUGCAAGCGUUAAUCGGAAUUACUGGGCGUAAAGCGUGCGCAGGCGGUUUUGUAAGACAGAGGUGAAAUCCCCGGGCUCAACCUGGGAACUGCCUUUGUGACUGCAAGGCUUGAGUGCGGCAGAGGGGGAUGGAAUUCCGCGUGUAGCAGUGAAAUGCGUAGAUAUGCGGAGGAACACCGAUGGCGAAGGCAAUCCCCUGGGCCUGCACUGACGCUCAUGCACGAAAGCGUGGGGAGCAAACAGGAUUAGAUCCCUGGUAGUCCACGCCCUAAACGAUGUCAACUGGCUUGUUGGGAAGGUUCCUUCUCAGUAACGUAGCUAACGCGUGAAGUUGACCGCCUGGGGAGUACGGCCGCAAGGUUGAAACUCAAAUGAAUUGA
rnacentral:rRNA from 1 species